rnacentral:rRNA from 1 species
UAGCUAGUUGGUAGGGUAAAGGCCUACCAAGGCGACGAUCGGUAGCUGGUCUGAGAGGAUGGCCAGCCACACUGGAACUGAGACACGGUCCAGACUCCUACGGGAGGCAGCAGUGGGGAAUAUUGGACAAUGGGGGCAACCCUGAUCCAGCAAUGCCGCGUGUGUGAAGAAGGCCUGAGGGUUGUAAAGCACUUUCAGUGGGGAGGAGGGUUGAUUGGUUAAGAGCUGGUUAAUUGGACGUUACCCACAGAAGAAGCACCGGCUAACUCCGUGCCAGCAGCCGCGGUAAUACGGAGGGUGCGAGCGUUAAUCGGAGUUACUGGGCGUAAAGGGUGCGUAGGUGGUUUAUUAAGUUAUGUGUAAAAUCCCUGGGCUCAACCUGGGCAGGUCAUAUAAUACUGGUAGACUCGAGUAUGGGAGAGGGUAGUGGAAUUUCCGGUGUAGCGGUGAAAUGCGUAGAGAUCGGAAGGAACACCAGUGGCGAAGGCGGCUACCUGGCCUAAUACUGACACUGAGGCACGAAAGCGUGGGGAGCAAACAGGAUUAGAUACCCUGGUAGUCCACGCUGUAAACGAUGUCAACUAGCUGUUGGUUAUAUGAAUAUAAUUAGUGGCGC